GAUGAACGCUGGCGGCGUGCCUAAUACAUGCAAGUCGAGCGAACGGACGAGAAGCUUGCUUCUCUGAUGUUAGCGGCGGACGGGUGAGUAACACGUGGAUAACCUACCUAUAAGACUGGGAUAACUUCGGGAAACCGGAGCUAAUACCGGAUAAUAUUUUGAACCGCAUGGUUCAAAAGUGAAAGACGGUCUUGCUGUCACUUAUAGAUGGAUCCGCGCUGCAUUAGCUAGUUGGUAAGGUAACGGCUUACCAAGGCAACGAUGCAUAGCCGACCUGAGAGGGUGGUCGGCCACACUGGAACUGAGACACGGUCCAGACUCCUAAGGGAGGCAGCAGUAGGGAAUCUUCCGCAAUGGGCGAAAGCCUGACGGAGCAACGCCGCGUGAGUGAUGAAGGUCUUCGGAUCGUAAAACUCUGUUAUUAGGGAAGAACAUAUGUGUAAGUAACUGUGCACAUCUUGACGGUACCUAAUCAGAAAGCAACGGCUAACUACGUG
rnacentral:rRNA from 1 species